AUGAGCGCCGCCCCCGGCGCCAUGCACGGCUCGCAGAAGGACACGGCGGCCUGCCGUACCACAUCACCGACGCCUCGCUCAGGAAGUCCUUCGAGGGCUUCAGUGACAUCGAGGAGGCUGUAGUCGUCACCGACCGCCAGACGGGCAAGUCCCGCGGCUACGGUUUCGUGACCACGGCCGACCGGGCGGCAGCUGAGAGGGCUUGCAAAGACCCGAACCCCAUCAUCGACAGCCACAAGGCCAACGUGAACCUGGCAUAUCUGGGCGCCAAGCCGCAGAGCCUCCAGACGGGCUUUGCCAUUGGGGUGCAGCAGCUGCACCCCACCUUGAUCCAGCGGACUUAAGGGCUGACCCCGCACUACAUGUACCCACCAGCCAUUGUGCAGCCAAGAGUGGUGAUCCUGGCCGCCCCUGUCCCGUCACCGUCCUCGCCUUACAUUGAGUACACGCUGGCCAGCCCGGCCUACGCCCAGUACCCACCGGCCACCUAUGACCAGUACCCAUAGGCUGCGUCACCUGCCACGGCUGCCAGCUUCGUGGGCUACAGCUACCCGGCCGCUGUGCCCCAGGCCCUCUCAGCCACAGCCCCCACCACCUUCGUGCAGUACCAGGCGCUGCAGUUGCAGCCCGACAGGAUACAGUGAGGGGUGUUCCUGCCCCAAGGACUGUGGCAUUGUCACCUUCACAGCAGACAGAGCUGCCAGGCCAUGAUGGGCCGGCGACAGCCCGGCUGAGCUUCAGUGAGGUGCCACCAGCACUCAGGCCUCUGAAGACCGCUCGGGCACUCCGCCUGCACCCUGGGACAGUGGAGAGACAGCUUCUCUUUAAAUCUAGGUCCCAUUGUGUCUUGAGGGAGGACAUUAAGAAUGACUGAGAGCUAUUUAAAGACGCAAUCCCGGGUUCCUUGCUCACCACGGCAGCCUCUCCUUGCACCUUUUCCUGCCUCUCCACACUCCAGGUGCCCUCAGGUUUGUGUCUCCACCGCCGCAUCGUGGUGGGGUGUCACAGACCCUCUGCAGUCCCUGGCUGCCCUGGACUGUGCAGAGAUGCCUGACUCCAGGGAAACCUGAGGGCAAGAAGUUAAUGGACUAUUUAUUGUAACUUGAUCCUCACGAGCUGUGAGCGCAGUCGAGGUGUGAGGACACGGCCUCCUGUUGGAGUCGCAUUUUCUCCAUGAGGGCACGUGGGCGGCUUCCUCAAGCCCAGAGGAGCUCCCAGGCACACAAGGGCCGCCGGUAACAGGGGGAGCCGACCAAAGACCCCUUUCCAGUCAUAGCACUGAAGUUGCAACUUUUUUCUUGUAAUUGUUUUGCUACUAAGAUAAUUUCAGAAGUUCAGUCUAUUUUUUCAGCGGAUACUGCCGCCGCCAAGAAUCCAAAACCUAUUUUUGA